GUACAUGUAUGUGAGAAACCUUUCAGGAACAAGUUGUCUACUAUAGCCAGCCAAGCCUUUACUGCAUACAUGUGCACAUUUUUAGUUGAUGCAUCUAAAAGAUAUAGUUUUGAUUCGGUGUUUCUUUGUUUUCUUUUUAUUCAAAUAAUUUUAAAAUGUGAUGAUGUACACAACAAUAAUUAGUACCUAGUUUAGAGGAUUUUUUCGCGCUUGUUUGUAAACAACGCGCGGCAUUGUGGGAAAUAGGAAGGUACUAAAGACGCGAUGUACUAAACACUGAUUUGACCUGAUUCAAAUUUGUCUGUAAAUGUUCCAAACAAUUGAAUUUUUGUAUAGCAUAUGCCUCGAAGUCAUAAAGUCUGUACAUAAGUAAUUUAAAAUACUCAAUAUUACCAUUUAAUUAAAAAUUAAAACGUCAGAUAAAUAUCAGGUCUCUAGUAUAUCCCGUUUUUAGUGUGCCCCUUCGAGUCGACGUCGGACACAUGUUUGCCAUGGUUUACAAACUGAAAAUAGAAUGAUUUGUGAAGUUGAACAUUUUCUCACAAAGAAUCCGUUUGUAGACAUGUACACUCAUUUAAUCUGCAGAUACGAAGUACUUUGUCACUUCUCUGGAACAUUAUUCUAAGCAGAAUUAUCCCGAUUCAUAUAUUCUAAGAAUCUUGUGUGAAUUGUUUACGAGGAAAUUCUGACUGUCACAUUAACAAGGAUGAACACUCUUGACUCUGCUUCGGAUUCCCCAGUGAUAAUUGUAUCGAGUGAUGAAAGAGCUGACGGCGACAUUUUAAUGUAUGAUUGGCUUGGACCAUUGGAAUGAAGUCAUUUCAUGGUGCCACCACUUGGGAUGGUAUUAGCUGCAAAUAUAGACUUCAGUACUCAGCACUUAUUGCCUUUAAGAAGUAUGAGAUCCAUUUUGUGCUAACACCUACCGUGACACAGAAUCUUGGUUUAUGCAGUCUCAUAGGAGUAACCUGUCUAAAGCAUCAAAUUUAGCAAUGGGAUUGGAACCUGCGACGUGUGACUCAUCUGAAUACUGAAUUUUGAUACCAAGCAUGACCAUGAUUUGCCAGAAGAUCAUCUGUUUGGAUGUGACAUGGAAUAAACAGCAUAGUGAAAAUAAGUCAAGUUUUGGUUUUUGAAGACAAUUUUUAAACACACUGUGUAUCAUUUUUAAAUUUUAAUUUGACAACAUAAAUCCACAAAUAUGAACAUAUCAAUUGCUCUCCGUUUUUCAAGUGAAAUAGUUUUUGUAACAGAAAUACAUGUACCAGUAAUUACAUUGGAAUAAAUGUUAUUUUUAAAUAUAAUAAUAUUUUGUUUGUGUAGCAUGUUGACCUCUUUAUUAAGGUCUUCUCUUUCAAAGUUUAGACUUACUUAUUCUAAUGAUUAAGAUAGAUCCUCUGUCUUCAGCAGGAAUAUAAGAUCUUGUAAUACAUGUAUGUGUAUUUUUUACAGUAUAAUGUAAAAAAAAUUGUUAUUUUGGCACACACAACUAAUUAAAGGCAUAAACAUGUGUAUGAUUCCAAGGAAUUCAGUACAUAGGGCAUGUACAUGUAGUUUUCUAAAACAAGAUUGAAGAGAUGUCCAGUCGCAUUUCAAUGUCAACUCCAAAACUGUGCCUGUUGCAUACUUAUUAGCCCAUCUGAGCUAAAGGAACCAGUAAAUUUUUUAAAAACAUAAUUUUAUCCAUUAUCAUCAUUGUCUAAAAUUUCACAAUAUCAUUUUCCAGAACCAAAGUGAAACUUGGCACAGAGCAUCCUUAGUGUAGGGGAUUCAAAUUGUUCUUAUGCAGGGCAAUACCUUCAAAGAGAUUUGUUUCUUUAAUGCUGUAAAUGUAUUAUAUUUAGCUUGUACAAUAUUUGGUGGAAAUUGACUUUUGAAUAAGUAAGCGUAGAUAUUCUUAUUUAUGUUUAUGUACAAGACUUUUAGCUUUGUACUUGAUUUAGUGAUUGCUGCAUUCUGCCAAAGCCGCUAAAAAAAAAUACACAGCCAUAUGUAAUAUGUUCACAAUAUACCUUUCAGAGAAUUUUACACUCCUAUUGAGGUACCACCAGUUGCUAGUGGAAAGCUUCAAAUUCGAAACAUACACAACACAUUUCUGUGCGUUUAUUAUAAAAGUAUUGUUCUACUUACUGAUUGCAACUAAUGAAGAU